rfam:Oryza nivara chromosome 3, whole genome shotgun sequence.
AAAAAAAAUAAACCUGAGUUUCCGUGUCCAUCAUUUAACCGUCCUGUCUUAUUUAAAAAAUUUAUGAAAAAAUUUAAAAAGAUAAGUCACGCAUAAAGUAUUAAUUAUGUUUUAUCAUCUAACAACAAUGAAAAUACUAAUUAUAAAAAAAAUUUCAUAUAAGACGGAUAGUCAAACGUUGGCCGAAGAAACAUAGGGUUUGUCUUUUU